rnacentral:rRNA from 1 species
GACGAACGCUGGCGGCGUGCCUAAUACAUGCAAGUAGAACGCAGUUGCGAACGGGUGAGUAACGCGUAGGUAACUGGCUCAUAGCGGGGGGUAACUAUUGGAAAAGAGAGCUAAUACCGCAUAAUGUGAGAUGGACCUGCGUGGUAUUAGCUAGUGGGUGAGGUAAAGGCUCACCAAGGCGACGAUACAUAGCCGACCUGAGAGGGGGAUCGGCCACACUGGGACUGAGACACGGCCCAGACUCCUACGGGAGGCAGCAGUGGGGAAUAUUGGACAAUGGGCGAAAGCCUGAUCCAGCCAUGCCGCGUGUGUGAAGAAGGUCUUCGGGUUGUAAAGCACUUUAAGUGGGGAGGCGUUACCAACAGAAUAAGCACCGGCUAACUCCGUGCCAGCAGCCGCGGUAAUAC